UACGUAGGAGGCAAGCGUUGUCCGGAAUCACUGGGCGUAAAGAGCGUGUAGGCGGCCAGGUAGGUCGGUUGUGAAAACUGGAGGCUCAACCUUCAGAGGUCGACCGAAACCAUCUGGCUAGAGUCCGGGAGAGGAGAGUGGAAUUCCUGGUGUAGCGGUGAAAUGCGCAGAUAUCAGGAAGAACACCCGUGGCGAAAGCGGCUCUCUGGAACGGUACUGACGCUGAGACGCGAAAGCGUGGGGAGCGAACAGG
rnacentral:rRNA from 1 species